AUUGAACGCUGGCGGCAGGCCUAACACAUGCAAGUCGAACGGUAACAGGAAGCAGCUUGCUGCUUUGCUGACGAGUGGCGGACGGGUGAGUAAUGUCUGUGAAACUGCCCGAUGGAGGGGGAUAACUACUGGAAACGGUAGCUAAUACCGCAUAACGUCGCAAGACCGAAGAGGGGGACCUUAGGGCCUCUUGCCAUCGGAUGUGCCCAGAUGGGAUUAGCUAGUAGGUGGGGUAACGGCUCACCUAGGCGACGAUCCCUAGCUGGUCUGAGAGGAUGACCAGCCACACUGGAACUGAGACACGGUCCAGACUCCUACGGGAGGCAGCAGUGGGGAAUAUUGCACAAUGGGCGCAAGCCUGAUGCAGCAAUGCCGCGUGUAUGAAGAAGGCCUUCGGGUUGUAAAGUACUUUCAGCGGGGAGGAAGGGAGUAAAGUUAAUACCUUUGCUCAUUGACGUUACCCGCAGAAGAAGCACCGGCUAACUCCGUG
rnacentral:rRNA from 1 species